AACGUAGGACGCGAGCGUUAUCCGGAUUUACUGGGCGUAAAGCGUGUUCAGGCGGCUCGGCAAGUCGGGCAUGAAAUCUCUCGGCUCAACCGGGAGGGGUUGUCCGAUACUGUCGGGCUUGAGGGCAGUAGAGGGUGGUGGAAUUCCGGGUGUAGUGGUGAAAUGCGUUGAUAUCAUCAGGAACACCGGAGGCGAAGGCGGCUCACUGGGGGUCUUCUGACGCUGAGGAACGAAAGCCAGGGGAGCGAACGGG
rnacentral:rRNA from 1 species